GGGAGGUGGAUGAGUCUGGAAUGGCUCCACAAGGUCCCUGGGUGGCCAGAGGGGAGGCUGCUCUCAUGUGUCAAUCACUGUCACCAGAAGUGCCUGAGCCACGGAGAGUGAGCCACUUCUUGGCCAGACAGAGCUUUGGAGCUGUCGGCAGCAGCUGCCGCAUCUCCCUGAGUUUACUACGCCCGGCUCUGAACAUGGCCCGGCUGUGCAUCUGGCUCCUGUCAGACACACAGCAGGAGAACUGGAGGUCUGUACAUCAGCAUGAACAUGCUUACACAUGCCUGCAGCCGUGCAGGGGCUGCUACCUACCUCACAUAGCCCGGGCUGGAUAAGAUGCCUCUUUAGGUAGCCCUCAGGAUCUGCACAGGUUUGCCAGGAAGUCAGGAGCUGCAGACCAUGCCCUGUCAGUACGUGGCUUUCUCUCCUGUCAGUGCUGAGGUGAGCUGUGUGUCUGUGGACAGCUGGGUGGAGGCUGGCCUUGGGAAGCCUAGGAGGAAGAAUGCUCAGAGCCCCAGUGACUCAAAUCCAAAUGAAGUGAUGGGGCCCAUCCAUCCAACACUUAGCUUACAGUUCUUGUGUUGGUGCCGUGAUGUCCCCUCCAGCAUUUACCCUGACCUCCUCAGCCUCCCGUGCAGCUUUGUUCCUCAAACCAGACCAUAUAGUCUGUGAGCAAAGUUCUAUGAGGGACAGCUUCCCCCUUCCUCAUCACCUUGCAGGGUUUAUGUUCCUGGUUAUGCCACCAUCAGACUCCUUCAGUGUGCAGGGUGACUGACAGCUGGUCUACCAGAAAUGCCCCUCUACCCUCAGCCCACUAGGUCAGCUGCCUGUUUCCAUUACCUCCUCCAGGAAUCCUCCCUGUGCCUUCAUUGACUCCAUCCUUUUGUGCUCCAGCUGUGACAGCCUGGCUUUUCCUAGGUAGAAUGACCUGGUGUCUGUUGCUGACUCUGGGAACAGUUGUGUAUACAUCGCAGGGGCGUCUGUCCUCAUCACCUAGAGCAGGCACCGCUACGUGGGAGGUGCUUGGGGAGCUCUGUCUGAGGAGGAGGAAUGGACAGGCUGCUUGCAGCUGAAAGGCUGGCAGGGGGUAUUGUUAGAAGAGAGGCAAUGGAACAAAAAAAAAAGGGCUUUGUAAACAUGAGCUCUGAACUGCUGUUCUGACCCCUCAUUCCCUGUCUUACAACUCUGUCUGUCUGUCUGCCUGCCUCCCUGCCUGCCUGUUUCUCCUUCUCUCCUUCCAGUCAACUACUCUGUCUUCCUUCUAUCUGAUAACUAUCCAGCUACACAGGACAGAUGCCUAUCUGUCUGUCUGUCGGUCAGUUGGUCAGUCUAUCUGUCUGCCUGCAUGCCUUCUUCCUUCUAGUAUUUGCUGAACACCUUUCUGCAGUUUUGGGAUCAAUCAGACAAGACCCUAGGGCUUCCACGUCCCCUGAUGUCCCUUGUGUUCCCUUGGGAGAUCUGAGGACUUGGCAGACAGGAGUGCCGGGUGGACUGAGGUACAGUACAGACAGUGCCUGACUGAACACUUGUGAGCUGAACAUCUGCUUUAUUUCAGUUCAGCAAAAAUCACAGAUACCACCAAGGAGGACAAAGACGUGAGUAGUUUGAGAGAGAAGCUUGCCCAGAAGGAUGGUCUAGCUUCAUGUGAGCUUGUCCAGGCUAGACUGAGCAGAAGUGGGGCAGUGGUUGAAACCUCCCUUGCCUGGCUUCCAACCUGUUCUCUCCCACUUCCCUUCUUCAGAUGGUCCCUGCUCUGCUUUCUGCUGUUCUCAUCCACAGGAAACCUGGCUCCCCUGCCCUCUGGGCCUUUUGAGUGGGUAGCAUGUAUCCCCAAAGCUGGUUUCUGAGUAUGCAAGCAUAGGACACAGAGGGCAAAGCCACCAGAACGGCUGAGGAGCAGCCUCAAGCCUGCCUUCCUGAAGUGACUGGGCCAGGUGCUGCUUCAGCACCAAGAAGCCCAAGAAACACCCAGAAGUGGCCGUGAGGCCCAAGCCUUCACCUCGGUUCACCAUCUUUGAUGAGGAGAUAGAUCCUGACGCAGGACUCUUCAGCUCAGGCAAGAUGGUGUCCCCCAAGAGACCUCUGGAGACCUCACAGGACUCCCUGAAGCUGUUUGACGACCCUGACCUUGGCGGGGCUGUCUCCCUGGGUGACCCUUUACUGCUGUCGGCUGGCCAUGAGAGUAGAGGGCCCUCAUCGAGCCCAGAACACAGGUUUGUCUCCGAGGAUCUGUAAAGCCCCUGGGAAUCACAGCUUAAAGAAUGUCAGUUUUGCAUCCCUGUCUCCAUUAUCAGACAUCUGGUGGUGAAGAACUGACUUCUUGAGAGCAGGAGCCAGAAUUUACUUUUCUUUGUGCCUGCCUUGUUCCUGUUAGUGACCUGCUUCUUGGCAGAAGGCUUUUGCUCCGUCAUCACUGUUACCCACCCGCCUGGACAUUAGUUCUCCUGAAAUGAGUUGAAGAAGACCUGGACAAGAUUCUGAACCUGGGAUCUGAACCAAAACUCAAGCCCCAAACUAAGCCCAAGCCUCUAGUCCCAGCUAAGCCAGCAUUGCCCAGGAAAACAACUCUGCCUCCGUCAGUGGACCCAUCAGAAACUGAGGCUGGACCACAGAAGCAGGAACAGAUCCAAGCUAUGGAUGAAAUGGACACUUUGCAGUAUAUCCGGGACCAUGACACACUUGCACAAGACUCCCCAAGCCUCUUCUGACUUCCCCACAACCCUGCCCUUCAACCUAUGUUGGGCCUGGGGAGGAGGCCUGUCUGUGAAUAUGUGGGUUCUGCUGGCAAGGCAAGGACCACCAAUGGAAGUGGAACUCUGAAUCCCGCAGUCCCAGUACCACACCCUUUCUUUUUCUCCUGAGCUAUGGGAUGGACAAGGACUCUCUGCAGAAUGUGCAGCUGGGAACACCAUAGGAGUCAAGCUGCAUCAUCUCCACCCAGCAGGCUGUGAAAAGGAGGGUAUUUAUGAGCAUGUCUGGCUCAACAGGGCCCUGAACUCAAACAGGGAUUGAGAUCAGAGGACAGUGUCCCCCAGGGAAAGGAUAUCUUCUGCAUAUUUGGACCCACUGGCUCUGCCAGCUCAGCAUGGGAAGGGGUGUUUAUCCUGAGUCUAGGCUGGGCUAAAGGAGUACCUGGGACAGGCCACUCUGGGCUCUCUACUUGGCAUGGCUGCUAGGGCCCCAAGCUGUGUUCUGAGGAGGAAGUCCAGCUCUCCAGACUGCCCUGACCCAAGUCCCUUCUCAGUUUCUUCUGGCUUCCAAUGCUAAGAAGAAAACGCAGGCCCAGCCUUGCCUUUCUAGGGCAUGGAGGGCUUCCAGGAUGCCAAGACUUUCACGUCCUUUCCCAGGAAAGUGUCUGGCCAGCCCAUGGCCCUUUGGAUGUGGCUAUCAACAGAGGAGGUCUUAGCAUCUCCCAGAGUUUAGCCCAUUUGAGGCUCCGAGGCCUUGUCUGCCCUCAGGAUCUGAACUUGCUCUUUUGACUUUCUUCAGUGGAGCCACCAGCCAGAAGAGAAGGAGCUGUGCCCCAGAGCAAUCCUGUGCCUUCCAGUAGAUGCUGUUUUGUGGAGCAAAGAAUGUUAGAGUAUAUUCUUUGUGUCAGGAACUUAAAAAAAAAAAGAAACACAUA